rnacentral:rRNA from 1 species
AGAUUGAACGCUGGCGGCAUGCCUUACACAUGCAAGUCGAACGGUAACGCGGGGCAACCUGGCGACGAGUGGCGAACGGGUGAGUAAUGCAUCGGAACGUGCCCAGUAGUGGGGGAUAGGCUCGGCGAAAGCCGGAUUAAUACCGCAUACGACCUAAGGGUGAAAGCGGGGGACCGUAAGGCCUCGCGCUAUUGGAGCGGCCGAUGUCAGAUUAGGUUGUUGGUGGGGUAAAAGCCUACCAAGCCGACGAUCUGUAGCUGGUCUGAGAGGACGACCAGCCACACGGGGACUGAGACACGGCCCAGACUCCUACGGGAGGCAGCAGUGGGAAUUUGGACAAUGGGGGCAACCUGAUCCAGCCAUGCCGCGUGCGGGAAGAAGGCCGUUCGGUUGUAAACGCUUUUGUCAGGGAAGAACGCUACGUGGUUAAUCCGUACGGGUAAUGACGAGUACC